UCCAGAUUCAUCUCUAGACUCAUUAUGAAGCAAAAUUGCUACUUGAAAUCAGUAUUUUGUCAAAUUCUUUUGAUGCACGUAGGAUAGAGUUAAUUUGUUACAACAUUUAUUUUGUGGAGCUAGUGAAAUUGAUUUGUUAGUUUCAUGAACAUUAUAUGUCUUGUUCCUUUUCGGAUGUGAAUGGAAGCUUUUGGUUCUAAUUAAGCAAAUUGUUACUGGAAGUUAGGUUCUAAGAAGAGUUUGAAAAUGUUUUCCACUUUUUUUUUUUUUAAAGUAUGAAACUUUUACUUGCAUCAACACACACCACAAGGCCACAGCCAACAAAUGACUAAUUGAGUGGAACUUACUAUUUAGGUCACCAUUUUAAUCCUUAUCUUUUGCAGCCUUUUUAGUUUUUCUUUUACCAUCUCUUUCAAUCUAAUAUUCAUUUUCCACCUUAAAUGUGUUUGGAAGUGCGUCAUUCUAAAAAAGAAGUUUGCAAAUUUUUUGGAAACAUGCACAAUGUGUAUUUAAGAAAGUCAUGAAACGACUUUCCGAUCAACUUUACGAAAUUCUAUUUGAGAUCUAUUGCAUCCCAUUCGUGUAUACAAUAUAGUUCCAAAAAUUAGCUCUUAGGAGUUAUAUGGCAUCUGUAGGAAUACACGGUUUCAUUUCUCCAAAGCUCUUGAUGAACUCUUUUCUUUCCUAUCCCAAAUAAAUUGACUUGAUUAAUAGUUCUGCAACUAAGCUCUGGCUCAUACGGAUUUUUCCCUGCUUCGAUCCGCAGUUACGUGUUUCGUCACAAUUGGCGUAUGAUGAAAGAUUGUCAAGAGAAUCGGCUAAGAUUGUUCGGCACCGACGUGAGGCUUUUAGAGUGAUUUAUAGACCAGAAAGUGGACUUGGAAACGAGGAGUAUUGGGAAAUGAGCCACAAAGAUGAAAUCCAACUUAGAAAAGGAGUGAUCUGAACUGAAGGACAAAGAUCAGGCACAAAGGCCCAAACGGACAGCAAAUUUCCAUCUGCGAACACAGAAUGUGAAAGAAAUCCAUCAGAGUCUUAAUGUAAUGUGUGGCCGCAGAAGCUAACCAAGAGCAGAAGUUCAGAGGGUUAACAUCUCAGGCCUAAAGGAAAUGCGGACCGCACAAUUAUUGUGCGGCUGCAGAAGUCAGUCACGCAGCCGCACUCAGAAUUGUGCGGUCCGCAGAAGGGCCCUGUGCGGCCGCACCAGGAUUUGUCCGAAUCGCAAAACAUAAGAGAUGCGGCCGCAUUUCAGAAUUAUGCAGCCGCAGAUCCAGCUCCUAUCAAUAUUGAAGAAAAAGUGCGGACCGCACAUGGUAUUGUGCGGCCGCAAAACCUGCGAAAGGGCAAUUUUGUCCGAAAUUUCCAGCUUUUUAUAAAUAGACUAGUUUCACGAAAUUAGGUCAAGUUUUGAAUAUUGAAACUCCUGUAGCCGUUUUUCCUUAUUGGAAACUUUAGCUUACUUUGGUGAUUCAACAUUGGAGUGUUGUCUUUUAAUCUUUCAAUAUGAGUUUUAUCA